GACGUAGGGCGCGAGCGUUAUCCGGAGUUACUGGGCGUAAAGGGCGUGUAGGCGGUUCGUUAAGUCUGGCGUGAAAGCUCUCGGCUAAACCGGGAGAGGUCGUUGGAUACUGGCAAACUAGAGGACGGUAGAGGCGUGUGGAAUUCCGGGUGUAGUGGUGAAAUGCGUAGAGAUCCGGAGGAACACCAGUGGCGAAGGCGGGUUGCUGGGCUGACACUGACGCUGAAGCGCGAAAGCUAGGGGAGCGAACGGG
rnacentral:rRNA from 1 species